CAGCCGCCACGGGAAUACGUAGGUGGCAAGCGUUGUCCGGAAUUAUUGGGCGUAAAGGGCUCGCAGGCGGUUUCUUAGGUCUGAUGUGAAAGCCCCCGGCUCAACCGGGGAGGGUCAUUGGAAACUGGGAAACUUGAGUGCAGAAGGGGAGAGUGGAAUUCCACGUGUAGCGGUGAAAUGCGUAGAGAUGUGGAGGAACACCAGUGGCGAAGGCGACUCUCUGGUCUGUAACUGACGCUGAGGAGCGAAAGCGUGGGGAGCGAACAGGAUUAGAUACCCCCGUAGUCCCUGUCUCUUAUAU
rnacentral:rRNA from 1 species